UGUGGGAGCGGGCUUGCUCGCGAAGACUGUGGCCCAUCCAAUAUCAAUGUGACUGGCACACCGCUUUCGCGAGCAAGCCCGCUCCCACA
rnacentral:antisense_RNA from 1 species